AUACGGGGGGUGCAAGCGUUAAUCGGAAUUACUGGGCGUAAAGCGCGCGUAGGCGGCUUUGUAAGUCGGAUGUGAAAGCCCCGGGCUCAACCUGGGAACUGCAUUCGAUACUGGCAAGCUAGAGUAUAGUAGAGGCAAGUGGAAUUCCGGGUGUAGCGGUGAAAUGCGUAGAUAUCCGGAGGAACAUCAGUGGCGAAGGCGACUUGCUGGACUAAUACUGACGCUGAGGAGCGAAAGCGUGGGGAGCAAACGGGAUUAGAAACCCCAGUAGUCC
rnacentral:rRNA from 1 species